ensembl:lncRNA novel transcript
GGUGGGCAGAUCACCUGAGGCUAGGAGUUCGAGACCAGCCUGGCCAACAUGGCAAAACGCCAUCUCUACUAAAAAUACAAAAAAUUAGCUGGGUAUAGUGGCGGGCGCCUGUAAUCCCAGUUACUCAGGAGGCUGAGGCAGGAGAAUUGCUUGAAUCCAGAAGGCAUAGGCUGCAGUGAGCUGAGAUGGUGCCAUUGCACUCCAGUCUGAGCAACAAGAGGGAAAUUUCAUCCCCCGUGACCCUCCCCCUGCCCAAAAAAAAGAAAGAAGAGGAAAAUCAAGAGUAAAUGGUGGCUUAACAGUCAUAGGAGGAAAGAAUCUCAAUAAAGAUGAUAAACAACAUCAUGAGUAGAAGAAAGGUCAUGUAAGCAUCUAGCUAAUCAGCUGACCAUGAGAUGCAGAGAUUAUCUGGAAUUAUCCAGAUUGGUCCAUUUAAUUACAUGAGUCCUUAAAAGUGGAAAGUGGAAGAAGAGGCAGAAGAGUGUGUCAGAGAGAUGCUGUGUGAAAAGGACUCAACCUGCCACUUGAGGCUUUGAGGCUGGAGAAAGGGGCCAUGAACCAAGGAUUGUGAGCAGCCUGUAAAAUCUGGAAAAGACAAGGCAAUACCCUUUGCUGUCUCAGGGUCAAACAUGCAACUCCUGCCUGCUUGUAUGGCCAGCUGGGUUCAAGAAGGAAGGAACCUCAUUGUUGACAGUUACCAGAUGAAUGUGCCCCUUCUGUACAGCUAAGAAAUGGAAUAGACAUUGAGAUUUCAAAACAAACGGUAUAUCUGAGUUUGUGCACAUGCAGUUUGACCUUGAGUUUCUGGGCAUUUAAAGAGGACCUCUCUACCCUCCACUCCUUCCUCCUUAAGUCAUACUGCACCUGCCAAGAGUCUAGUCUGUCUCCUCCGAGGACGCAAGGGGUCGCCCCUCUACCAGGAUUGCACCAGCAAACCAAGCCGCAAACGCAGACUCAAGUGCGAAGGAGCAAGAGCAUCGCUGUGGGUGCUGUCUCCCAGUCCCACUCCCACAGAAAAAUUGGAAUUGCAACCCAGUUCCACUAUUCCUUCUUUCAUCCCCUCAACACAAACAGAGGUCUCCUUUGACUUGGCCUUGAGAUGAUUAAGGCAGGUCGAAAAGCAGUUUGCCUUUUGACUCCUCUCGGCCCAACCUAGAGGUGCAUCAUCCCACAGCUCCCUGAGGCAGCGCCCGGGGAAAGCUUCCUGCGCCGUGGUCCUCGCUGGGGGAGGUGGGCACAAAAGGACUACAAGCUUUCUUUCCUGUGUCUUCCUUCAGAAUCAGGGGCCCCAAAACUGCAAAGCGAGACGCCUCUGACACUCAGUACCCUGUCCCUCCUUGACAAGUGUGUGGCUCCCAGCCCGGGGGUCCUCGGUGG